ACAUUCCGGAACGGGAAGAAGGAGCUGUCUCUCUCUUCUGAGGGGUAGGCAGGUGCUUCCGAAUCGCGGAAUGUAGGUGCUCAUAAGCUGGAGACCCACGGAAAGAACCUAGAAGCUCCGAGCGGUUGCAGACAGCACUGCAUUGAGCCAACGACUCCUGCUCUACUGAUGGUGAUUCCACAGCUUUGUGAGGAAUAAGUUAAGAUGAAUUACAGUUUCCCCUGGACUUCUUUCUCUCUCCUGCCGCCUUGUGAAGAAGGUGCCUGCCUCCCCUUCCACCACGAUUCUAAGUUUCCUGAAGUCUCCCCAGCCAUGCUGAACUGAUAAGGUCCAUCUUGGCAAAUGGUCUGUGUGCACAAGAAAGAAUGUGAAUUCUGCAGUUGUUGGAAUGUUAUCUUAUCUGGAAGAAGAGGAAUAGGAAAGAAAAGGAGUCAGGAAUGGAUCUUACUCAGAAGGCUGACUAGACACAGCCAGGUGGAAGAGCUCCCACUGCGGGACCAAGAUGACUGGAAUGCCCCUAACAGAUCUUCAGAGGGAAGAAACCAGGAGUGGACAGAGAGAAGACACAGAAGCUGGGCUGAAGGUAGUGAAAGCUGGGAAUGUGGCACAGGACUACUGCACACCAGGUUUUGUUCCUGGCCCACAAUGGCUCUGGGGGAUCAGCCGUGUAAGAUAUGCCUGCUUCCCCUUCACCUUCUGCUAUGAUUGGGAGUUUCCUGAGGCCUCCCCAGCCAUGCUUCCUGUACAGUCUGUGGAACCAUGAGCCAAUUAAACCUCUUUUCCUUAUAAAUUA
rnacentral:lncRNA from 1 species